rnacentral:misc_RNA from 1 species
GGAAGUAAAAUCGUAACAAGGUUUCCGUAGGUGAACCUGCGGAAGGAUCAUUAACACGUAUCCACGUUUAUCACCCGAGAAUACCUGAGGAUAGCUUCUUCGAGUAAAGCCUGAUGCGACCAUUCUUCUUGUGGAGGGAUGGUGAGGGAGGGCUUCUUGUUGGAAUCUACUUGGAGGAGGAGAGGGAGAGAGGGUAUGUGGUUCAUUUUCUCCCUUUGCUUUUUCUGAGUGAUCUGACGGGAGGCUCACCUUUGCUGUCUUUCUGUGAGAGGGGUGGAAGUGUUGAGCCCGGCUCUC